AGUGGCAGACGGGUGAGUAACAUGUGGGUAUCUGCCCUUUGGCCUGGAAUAACACGAGGAAACUUGUGCUAAUACCGGAUAAGUCUUUACGGAGAAAGCUUUAUGCACCAUUGGAUGAGCCUGCACUUGAUUAGUUUGUUGGUGGGGUAAUGGCCUACCAAGACUGUGAUCAAUAGCUGAUUUGAGAGGAUGAUCAGCCACAUUGGGACUGAGACACGGCCCAAACUCCUACGGGAGGCAGCAGUGGGGAAUCUUGCACAAUGGAGGAAACUCUGAUGCAGCGAUGCCGCGUGAGUGAAGAAGGCCCUUGGGUUGUAAAGCUCUUUCGUCGGGGAAGAAAAUGACUGUACCCGAAUAAGAAGGUCCGGCUAACUUCGUGCCAGCAGCCGCGGUAAUACGAAGGGACCUAGCGUAGUUCGGAAUUACUGGGCUUAAAGAGUUCGUAGGUGGUUGAAAAAGUUGGUGGUGAAAUCCCAGAGCUUAACUCUGGAACUGCCAUCAAAACUUUUCAGCUAGAGUAUGAUAGAGGAAAGCAGAAUUUCUAGUGUAGAGGUGAAAUUCGUAGAUAUUAGAAAGAAUACCAAUUGCGAAGGCAGCUUUCUGGAUCAUUACUGACACUGAGGAACGAAAGCAUGGGUAGCGAAGAGGAUUAGAUACCCUCGUAGUCCAUGCCGUAUACGAUGUGUGUUAGACGUUGGAAAUUUAUUUUCAGUGUCGCAGAGAAAUCG
rnacentral:rRNA from 1 species